rnacentral:rRNA from 1 species
UACAGAGGUCCCAAGCGUUGUUCGGAUUCAUUGGGCGUAAAGGGUGCGUAGGCGGCGCGGUAAGUCGGGUGUGAAAUCUCGGGGCUUAACUCCGAAACUGCAUUCGAUACUGCCGUGCUUGAGGACUGGAGAGGAGACUGGAAUUUACGGUGUAGCGGUGGAAUGCGCAGAUAUCAGGAGGAACACCAACGGCGAAGGCAGCUCGCUGGGACGGUACUGACGCUGAGGCGCGAAAGCGUGGGGAGCGAACAGG